rnacentral:rRNA from 1 species
UACGGAGGGUGCGAGCGUUGUCCGGAAUCAUUGGGCGUAAAGGGCGCGUAGGUGGCGGGACAAGCGUGCGGUGAAAGCUCGGGGCUCAACCCCCGCGUCGGCCGUGCGAACUGUUUUUGCUUGAGCACUGUAGAGGCAGGCGGAAUUCCGGGUGUAGCGGUGGAAUGCGUAGAGAUCCGGAAGAACACCGGUGGCGAAGGCGACUUACUGGACCAGCACUGACACUGAGGCACGAAAGCGUGGGGAGCAAACAGG